AGGCUGGGAUAGCCGACGACCGAAAUUUUGUGCUGAUUCCAAUGGUGCUCUCUGUUUAUUUAUUCGAGGAUCAGAUUGUGAAAUUUCAGUGAAAUUGGUGAAUAUGAGAAUUUGUCCCAAAAUUAGAAAAUGUCGGUACUUGAAGGGAAAGUAACUGUGUGAGGUUGUGAGUUGGAUUAAUUAUUGCCAGGUGGGGCCGUGAUGCCACCAAGUUAAGCACAUUUGCCAGGUGGGGCCGUGAUGCCACCAAGUUAAGAACAUUUGCCAGGUAGGGCCGUGAUGCCACUAAGUUGAGAAAAUUGCCAGGUGGGGCCGUGAUGCCACCAAGUUGAGAAAAUUGCCAGGUGGGGCUGUGAUGCCACCAAGUUGAGAAAAUUGCCAGGUGGGGCCGUGAUGCCACCAAGU
rnacentral:lncRNA from 1 species